rnacentral:lncRNA from 1 species
CUACAAAGGGUUUUCAUGAGAAGGAGGAGCUGCUUUGCAAUGCACCGACCUGCCCUAAGCCUGGGGGAUUCCCUCACUGUUAGAAGGCCUUAAAACCACUUGGAAACUGGAAGACAAAGGAUGUCCUGAUGAAAGGAUUCAAAGAAGUUUCCAGGACUUCAUGACGAUGGGAUGUGUGAGUGUGAUUUGAAAUGUUCGUGUUGUACUGGGAGCUUGAUAGCAGGCAUCUGUGUGGGACAAGUACAAAUUGCUGGUUUCACAUGGAAAGAAGCCUGGGAGCAAGCUGCCUUCAACUUGUGUUGACCUCUGGCAGGAUCUUCCUCUAGCACAGCUGG